UACGUAGGGUGCGAGCGUUACUCGGAAUUACUGGGCGCAAAGCGUGCGCAGGCGGUUUUUUAAGUCUGAUGUGAAAGCCCCGGGCUUAACCUGGGAACUGCGUUGGAAACUGAAAGACUAGAGUGCGGCAGAGGGGGGUAGAAUUCCACGUGUAGCGGUGAAAUGCGUAGAUAUGUGGAGGAAUACCGGUGGCGAAGGCAGCACCCUGGGUCGACACUGACGCUGAGGCGCGAAAGCGUGGGGAGCAAACAGG
rnacentral:rRNA from 1 species